GGGAUCACCUGGUGAUCGAUUUUUUUUUUUCUUUUUCCUUUCUGCCUUUCCCUCAUCUAGACGGCACCAUCCUAUCACCCCCGGCUUCUCUGGAGAUCAGGGGUCUUGUUGCAGGUCCGAGCUCCCGAGGACAAACCUCCGGGCUCCCUUCGAACUCCUCGUUGCUGUGUUGUUCACCUGAGUUGCUUCCUCGAGCUUCCUGAGCGGGUCGCUGCUGUAACGUCCUCCUCGACUCCUUGUCGUCUUUGUGCUGCUGCUCGGCCUCGUCCCUCGCUGCUGUGCUCCCAUUGAACUUCCCUGAGCUGCUGUCCAUGUCCCAUGGAGCUCCCCGAGUUACCUUGGCUGUUGUUCAGCUCUUCGUCGAGCUCCCCUUAGCUGUCAAAUGCAUCCGAGCUAAGUCUCAUACUUUGUUUCCCUUCUCCGUGCUUACUCUUGUUGUUUUCUUUUUCAGUUGGUUCCAUUCUUAUUCUGCCUUUGUUUGUCUCCCCUUUUGCAGUGACAUCAACAUCCACAGAGCCGCCACAUUGCUUUGCUCCCUCCCCUUCGAGAUCCCCGAGUUGCUUUGCCGAUGUAUCGAGGGAUGUCCGAAGGUUCACGUGGUUCCUCCCGACAGUGGCUCAGGAGAGGUCACGCCUAUCACGGGGUGCAACGCUCUAAACCAUCGAUCACGGGUCCAAUGCCCCACGCACACUGAGCGCGCACAACCCGAGUGCGGAAUGGGGUCUAGCCCCAAGUCAUUACCUUGCUCCGAGUAUGGUCUAUGGGGAAGACGACUUGGAUCGGGUGUGUGAAUCGCGGUUAGGCGUCACCCGGGAACUCGACCGAUCCAACGGUUAUCGCGAGAAUUGAUCCAUUUUCUCGUCUACCGUCGGUUCGGUCGGACCCGACUCUCGGCUCCUUGAGCCCGUGUUACCUUAAUUUACUUAUCGGUCAUUCAAAAUCUCACGGUGAGCUAGAGUGGAAUGUUGGCCCAAUGCAAACCGAUAGGGGAUCCAUUUACUUUGUUCGGUUGUAUUCUGUAUUUUUUUGAGAGUACAUUGUAAGAAAUUUCGUUUGCA